rnacentral:rRNA from 1 species
UACGGAGGGGGCUAGCGUUGCUCGGAAUUACUGGGCGUAAAGCGCACGUAGGCGGCUUGUUAAGUCAGGGGUGAAAUCCUGGAGCUCAACUCCAGAACUGCCUUUGAUACUGGCGAGCUUGAGUUCGGGAGAGGUGAGUGGAACUGCGAGUGUAGAGGUGAAAUUCGUAGAUAUUCGGAAGAACACCAGUGGCGAAGGCGACUCACUGGCCCGAUACUGACGCUGAGGCGCGAAAGCGUGGGGAGCAAACAGG